UCCUUCCGUCCCGGGAUAACUAGCCGAAAGGUUAGCUAAUACCAGAUACGCUCAUCGUGCGGCAUCGCACAAUGAUGAAAGCAGCAAUGCGCGGAUUGAGGAGGCUGCGGCCCAUUAGCUAGUUGGUAAGGUAAUGGCUUACCAAGGCUACGAUCUGUAGCCGACCUGAGAGGGUGGUCGGUCACACUGACACUGAAUAACAGGUCAG
rnacentral:rRNA from 1 species